GCUAACACAUGCAAGUCGAGCGGAUGAAGAGAGCUUGCUUUCUGAUUCAGCGGCGGACGGGUGAGUAAUGCCUAGGAAUCUGCCUGAUAGUGGGGGACAACGUUUCGAAAGGAACGCUAAUACCGCAUACGUCCUACGGGAGAAAGCAGGGGACCUUCGGGCCUUGCGCUAUCAGAUGAGCCUAGGUCGGAUUAGCUAGUUGGUGAGGUAACGGCUCACCAAGGCGACGAUCCGUAACUGGUCUGAGAGGAUGAUCAGUCACACUGGAACUGAGACACGGUCCAGACUCCUACGGGAGGCAGCAGUGGGGAAUAUUGGACAAUGGGCGAAAGCCUGAUCCAGCCAUGCCGCGUGUGUGAAGAAGGUCUUCGGAUUGUAAAGCACUUUAAGUUGGGAGGAAGGGCAUUAACCUAAUACGUUAGUGUUUUGACGUUACCGACAGAAUAAGCACCGGCUAACUUCGUGCCAGCAGCCGCGGUAAUACGAAGGGUGCAAGCGUUAAUCGGAAUUACUGGGCGUAAAGCGCGCGUAGGUGGUUUGUUAAGUUGAAUGUGAAAGCCCCGGGCUCAACCUGGGAACUGCAUCCAAAACUGGCAAGCUAGAGUAUGGCAGAGGGUGGUGGAAUUUCCUGUGUAGCGGUGAAAUGCGUAGAUAUAGGAAGGAACACCAGUGGCGAAGGCGACCACCUGGGCUAAUACUGACACUGAGGUGCGAAAGCGUGGGGAGCAAACAGGAUUAGAUACCCUGGUAGUCCACGCCGUAAACGAUGUCGACUAGCCGUUGGGAUCCUUGAGAUCUUAGUGGCGCAGCUAACGCAUUAAGUCGACCGCCUGGGGAGUACGGCCGCAAGGUUUAAAACUCAAAUGAAUUGACGGGGGCCCGCACAAGCGGUGGAGCAUGUGGUUUAUUUCGAAGCAACGCGAAAACCCUUACCAGGCCUUGACAUGCAGAGAACUUUCCAGAGAUGGAUUGGUGCCUCGGGAACU
rnacentral:rRNA from 1 species